rnacentral:tRNA from 1 species
GGGCCCAUAGUUCAUCUGGUAGAAUGCCUGCUUUGCAAGCAGGAGGUGGUCGGUUCGAGUCCGACUGGGUCCACCA